UACGGGGGGGGGCAAGCGUUGUUCGGAAUUACUGGGCGUAAAGGGCUCGUAGGCGGUUCGUCACGUCGGGAGUGAAAACUCGGAGCUUAACUCCGAGCCUGCUUCCGAUACGGGCAGACUAGAGGUAGGCAGGGGAGAGCGGAAUUCCUGGUGUAGCGGUGAAAUGCGCAGAUAUCAGGAAGAACACCCGUGGCGAAAGCGGCUCUCUGGAACGGUACUGACGCUGAGACGCGAAAGCGUGGGGAGCGAACAGG
rnacentral:rRNA from 1 species